CUCACAUCACACCAGCCACUGAACUCCCUCCCUGCGAGAGAUGCAAACCCAGAUCCAGGCGGCCAUAGCUCGGUCGCGGCUGAGGAAGCAGCAUUUCCACCGUCGAGUCUCUCCGUCUCGAGCAUUGCCGCGCCGUCCUCUUCUCCAGCCCCCCCUUCGUGGUACUUUAAUUAGGUGUUAAAGUUUCCAUCUAUGACCAGAAUGUAGUAAGACCUUGGGGAGCUUCGCCGCAGAAAACACAAAAUUUGGUAUUGGGCUUAGGUUCAUCGUCCAUCAUCCAUCAUCCAUCAUCUCUCCCUUCACUCUACUUAGUCACUGAUCCACACCAUCUUCGCCGGCGACGGGUCUUCCUGCUUACUUCCCCGUUGACCCUCUCUUUCUCUUUAUCCAUUUAUUUCCCAUUGCCAUUUUGUGCCAAAAUGACGUCGUACCCCCUUAUCAUACAUUUUUUUCUUUUUUCUGUCUCGUAACUCAUAACGAUUCUCGUCAAGCUACAACCUUUAACACUCAAAACGCCUCCGUUUCAAAAACCAUCGAUACCCACUAUGUCCCAUUUCCGGAAACUCCAGUUAACAUACUUCAUCUCCAAAAUUUCCCACACUUGCCUUAAACCCUCGCUAAGCCCUAGAUUCCACAGCGCCAAAUCUGCUCCCCAAUCCGCACUAAAAAACUGUGAUUUCAAGUUCCCCUCGAAGGUCAGAAAGGAAGCACAAGUCGCAUUGCUCGAGUACCUUCAUUCCACAAGGAGCUUGCAGUUCCUUGAUGCAGACAACAUGUGCAAAAACUCGCCCUUUUUCCUCAACGAUAUUCUGAGCAAGGUUCUUCAGAAGAAGAAGAUCGACACUGCUGCCAGCGACGUCAAGAAAUCAAUCUCGCGUUACCUCCGUUACCACCCAAUUAACGAGUUCGAACCAUUCUUCGAGAGUACAGGUUUGAAGCCUUUUGAAUACUUGCACCUUCUUCCAAGGGACAUGAUGUUCAUCAACGAUGACACUGUGUUGAUGGAGAAUUAUCAUACUCUGUGUAACUAUGGUGUUCCCAGGAACAAAAUGGGAAAGAUCUUCAAGGAUGCACCUCAAGUUUUUCGAUAUGAAAGUGGGGUACUGGUGUCCAAGUUUCAGAGUUAUGAAGAGCUUGGUGUGGCUUCUUCAACUUUGGUAAAGGUGAUUUCUUUGAGCCCUAGGAUUUUGGUUGGGGAUGUUGACCUUUAUCUUGUGAAGGUUUUGGAGAAAUUGAAUCGUCUUGUUGGUGAAGAAAAGGGUAGUACUUGGAUUGAGGAGCAGUUGUUGGCUGAGAGUAGUUGUAAUUUUGGGGUUAUGCAUGAGCUCUUGUGCUUGCUUGAGAAGGUUUACAGUGACAAAAAGUUGUUGGGUGAGAUGAUUGGCCAGCACCCUUUUGUUUGUUUUGAGGAUUCUGGAGUUUGGGCAUUGUCCCUCAUUGUGUUCUUGGUGAAAUUAGGGUUGUCCUUGGACCAAAUAGCUAUAAUUUUUGUCAAGUUUCCGCAAAUUGGGGUGUCGAUGUUUCUGUCGAAUUUGCGCAAAUGUUUUACAUUCCUGUCUGAUAUCGAUAUGCAUGCUGCGGAGAUUGGGAAUAUUUUCCAGUCUCAUUCCUUGCUGAUGGGUUCAUUCACUAUUAAGAAAUCUAGUAGUUUGCUCAGUAGCUUGAAUGUUGGCAAGAAAAGGGUCUGUAAGUUAGUGCAGGAUAAUCCGGAAGGGAUGCAGAAUUGGGCUGUGGGGAGGAAAAUUCAGCCUUACCCUGAGGAUAAGGAAAUGAGGGCUCUGAAAACAGAGUUCUUGAAAACAAAGUUCUUGUUGAGCCUUGGAUACGAAGAGAACUCGGAGGGAAUAAAACAGGCUUUUAAGCUGUUUAGAGGUAAGGGAGAUGAGCUUCAGGAGAGAUAUGAUUUUAUUGUUAAUGCUGGCUUGGACGCUAAGGAUGUUCGCGAAAUGAUUAAGGCUUCACCUCAGAUUCUUAAUCAGACCACAGAUAUGAUCAACACGAAAAUUGAGUAUCUUGUGAAUGAAGGAUAUCCUAUAUCAAGUUUAGUCGAUUUCCCAUCUUUUCUUUCCUAUACACUUUGUAGAGUUAAGCUUAGGUUAUCAAUGUAUAAUUGGCUCAGAGACCAUAGAGUUGUUCACCCCAGGCUUGCUUUGAGCACCAUAGUUGCAUGCUCAGAGGAAUUAUUCUUACGGUUGUAUGUAAAUCGGCAUCCAUCUGGCCUUCAAGUUUGGCAGGAUUUGAAGUCCGAAAUUUAUCCUGAGAAUAAUAACAUGAUAUGAUCCCUUCUGGCAAAGCAUGAUCAUGGUUUAAUCUGGAAAUAUGUUUCUCGUUCAGAUAAUUGUGUAGUGCGUUUACAAAACUGUUAAGGAUGCUUGACCUGCACCACCAUAGAUGAUUACCGAUUGCAGAUAUUUCCGACACAACUUGUAGAUGGAAGAAGGUUGGCUAGAUUGGUUUUGUUGUUGAAGCCAUCCUCACCAUGUGGCUUGUAUAUAAGCUUUCCUUCUGAACCCAGCUACACUGCAGGCCAGUCUUCGACGGUUAAAGUUUCUAACUGAAUAUGUUUCUUGAGAAUGAAGCAGACAGGGUGAGGGUGAGAGACUGUACUGUCUGAAGAAUUGAAGCAAGACAAGCACGUGUAUUGGGUUGAAGGUAUUGUUCGUGUGGUUGCUGAUUGUUUACCCCAAAAAUUGGGUGAAAUAGUUUCAAAAUUUAAGAAAAGUAGUCAUAUGACCUAUUGUUGGUAGUUGCUAACAAUUUCUUGUAAUAAGUUCCAAUGAUUUAUGGGAACUCCUAGAAGAGUUGGAGGGCCACUUUAAUUUUGAUUUUAUAUGAUUCAUCAUUAAAUUGAGAUGUGAACUCAUCAUAUUGGACCACAUUGAUCCAAAAUCUAUGCAUACCACCACCUUCACCAUUAUC